GUUCUUUGGCUCGAUCUGGCUUUGUUAUGUCAGUUCAUGUAUCUCUUCUCUGACAGAGCUUAUCCAUUAAUGCAUCAAUUAAUCGCUAUGGUCUUCACCUGCGAGUCUUCUUGGAGAUGGGUCAUCAUUGAUGACACUGAAUGAGCAUGGAGCAUCACCUUUGUUCUCAGCUAAGGUUCGUCUGCGCUUGCUCAGUUCCAUGUUUUCGUUAUUGUGCCCAGCUCAAAAUUAAGUCCACUCUUACCUUGGUUCUCGGCUACAGUAAGUUAUAUGUUUCGUUGCUGUUGUUUCGGUGAAGCUCGACUCUUCACCUGCGAGUCUUCUUGGAGAUGGGUCAUCAUUGAUGACACUGAAUGAGCAUGGAGCAUCACCUUUGUUCUCAGCUAAGGUUCGUCUGCGCUUGCUCAGUUCCAUGUUUUCGUUAUUGUGCCCAGCUCAAAAUUAAGUCCACUCUUACCUUGGUUCUCGGCUACAGUAAGUUAUAUGUUUCGUUGCUGUUGUUUCGGUGAAGCUCGACUCUUCACCUGCGAGUCUUCUUGGAGAUGGGUCAUCAUUGAUGACACUGAAUGAGCAUGGAGCAUCACCUUUGUUCUCAGCUAAGGUUCGUCUGCGCUUGCUCAGUUCCAUGUUUUCGUUAUUGUGCCCAGCUCAAAAUUAAGUCCACUCUUACCUUGGUUCUCGGCUACAGUAAGUUAUAUGUUUCGUUGCUGUUGUUUCGGUGAAGCUCGACUCUUCACCUGCGAGUCUUCUUGGAGAUGGGUCAUCAUUGAUGACACUGAAUGAGCAUGGAGCAUCACCUUUGUUCUCAGCUAAGGUUCGGCUCUUGAUUUCGUUGCUGUUGUGCCGAGUGAAGCUGGACUCUUGAAUUCGUUGCUGUUGUUUCGGUUUGGUUACUUAUUUCGUUGACGCUGAUGUCUUCGUUGCUUUGAUUCAUGCUCUCAGUAAGUUAUAUGUUUCGUUGCUGUUGUUUCGGUGAAGCUCGACUCUUCAUCGCAUCGCUGUUGUUUCGGUUCGGUUACUCAUUUUGGAACUCCCGUUUUUUUGGUUUCUAAUCUUCCACUAUCGAUUGUCUGGCCUUUGAACGUCCUCUUGGUUUGUGUUGAUUUUUGGUUGUUGUUGAUCUCUAAUUUGCCUUUGUGAUUUUUAAUGUCGAUGUUUUUUAUUCCCGGAUGUUUCACUGUUUGCUAAUCUUCUCUUGGUAUCUGUUGAUUUUUUGGAUUGUCAUUGCUCUCUAAUUUGCAUUCCAUUUCCUUUGUGAAUUUUUAUGUCCAUCUAUAUUUUCAGAUGUCCCACUUCUUUACUUUCACCUGUCUUUACUAAUUGUUGUUUCUUCUAUCCACUGCAGUUCUCGCAUUUGGAUUAGCUGUUGCAGUUUACUUGCUAUAUUGUUUUGUUUGUGUCUCUACUGAUUCUGUUUACAUAUUUGAGACGACAUGGUCGGACUAAUUUAUUUAGAGUCUUUCUUAUUAUUUGCAGUACCUGUUUUGAGUUCGGUUAUGUAAAUAUGUUUCGCAGCUUCAUUACACUUAUUUGCUUCAAUUUUCGUUUACAUUUUUACGAAUUUUGGGUGAUAAUUUCUAUAUUAAACGAUUGUUAGUUCGUUGCCCAUUCUGUGAUGGUAAGUAAAAGUUGGUGUGUCCCUUUCCCAGCAUUUUUGGGUGCCGCUGGCUGAGUCUCUGUCUCUCUUUCUUUCGCCGUUGGUUAUCAUCGUUCCUUUAUUUGACUUUCUUGAUUUUUUUGGCCUCAUGAUAUGCCCUUUAAGAAUUUUGUGCCAUUUUAAGGCUGCUAUCACAAGUGCUCAUCUUUGUAAUGGAAUACUAUGUAUAAACUGUUGUUGUGCUUUUAAUUGAUAGUACAAUUCUUCUCUCUGGUCAACUUCUUGUAGAUCAUAGCUUGCCCAAAGAUUUUUUAUCAGCAGUCACUCUUCAGUCUCCGUAUUUUCAAGGUCAGUUGUUGUACAUUAAAUUCCAUGCUUGGGUUUUUUUUGGGCCACUAUUCUGUAAGUUUUGUCAUGGUGAAUGAAAAUCACGCAUUUAACUAAGACGAGGUUGUGGUGGUUAAUUCCUUUACAGUGAUUUUCCUAAUCUCACAUCUGCAUUUGGUGCAAAAAAAAAAGAGUUGCUAUCAUGCUACUUUCGCAGUGCACUCUCACCUAUCAAACUUUGAUUUGUGUAGAAUUUAAAAUUUUCUUUUCCUCCUUUAUCACAUUUGUUAAUAUGCUCACUGGGAUUGGUUAUUCUCCUGGAUAGGAGCUGCCGUGGGUGUUGGUUCUCAUAGGUUCGUCGUUUACCUUUCCCUUUUGUUAACUGAUGGUAUGUCGUUUAAGAAGUUUGAUGAAUGCCAAGAUACCAGUAGAAUUUCUCACAGAUUUAUAAACGCUGUUCAUAUUCCACUGUUGGUUGUUAUUUCUAUUGUUAAAUUUCUUUUUGCAACAUUAUUGGUAAGAAAUGUGCAUGUCUUGUGGAAAAAAGCAAUUAUGGUCAUCAAUUCCUAUUGGUCUACUGAGAUGACGUGCAUUUAGCAUUAAAUGAGUUUGGGAAAAAAUGGCAUGCUUCUUCCUGUUUUUUGUAGGUAAACCUCUGUUUAAAUUAUUUUAUGUUGUCAAGUUUUCAUUUUAGUUCCAGUUUUCGCUCUGUUGAGAAUAUCUUUGAAGAUUGCGGUGGCAGAGGAGCUGACGUUGUUCGUUCCUUAUCUCAGGAUACAAUGAAGCUCGAGUUGCGACAGAAAAGAUGCUUGAAUCGCUCUCUAAAAAGCU